GCCCAUUUAGCUCAGAGGAUAGAGCGUCAGCUUCCUAAGCUGGGGGUCAGCGGUUCGAUCCCGCUAAUGGGCU
rnacentral:tRNA from 1 species